rnacentral:rRNA from 1 species
GACGAACGCUGGCGGCGUGCCUAAUACAUGCAAGUAGAACGCAGUUGCGAACGGGUGAGUAACGCGUAGGUAACUGCCUCAUAGCGGGGGAUAACUAUUGGAAACGAUAGCUAAUACCGCAUACUGUGCGAUGGACCUGCGUUGUAUUAGCUAGUUGGUGAGGUAAAGGCUCACCAAGGCGACGAUACAUAGCCGACCUGAGUGGGUGAUCGGCAACACUUGGACUGAGACCCGGCCCAGACUCCUUCGGGAGGCAGCAGUAGGGAAUCUUCGGCAAUGGACGCAAGCCUGCUGCAGCCAUGCCGCGUGUAUGAAGAAGGCCUUCGGGUUGUAAAGUACUUUCAGCGGGGGGGCGUUACCCGCAGAAGAAGCACCGGCUAACUCCGUGCCAGCAGCCGCGGUAAUAC